rnacentral:rRNA from 1 species
CCCUUAGAUGUUCUGGGUCGCACGCGCGCUACACUGAUGCAUUCAACGAGUCUAAAACCUGCUCUGAUAGGGGUGGGUAAUCUUUUGAAUGUGCAUCGUGAUUGGGAUAGAUGAUUGCAAUUUUUCAUCUUCAACGAGGAAUGCCUAGUAAACGCAAGUCAUCAGCUUGCAUUGAUUACGUCCCUGCCCUUUGUACACACCGCCCGUCGCUCCUACCGAUUGAAUGAUCCGAUGAAUAUCAUGGAUUGAGGAUGCAAGUAGGUUCGCCUAUCUUCAUCUUCGAGAAGUGAAGUAAAUCUUAUCAUUUAGAGGAAGGAGAAGUCGUAACA